ACCUUGGGAUACCACUCUUGGAGUGCUGGAGUUCUAACCUGCGGCUUUGAAUCAAGUCGGGGGACAUUGUUAGGUGGGCAGUUUGACUGGGGCGGUCGCCUCCUAAAGAGUAACGGAGGCGCUCAAAGGUUCGCUCAGCAUGGAUGGAAACCAUGCAUCAGAGUGUAAACGCAGAAGCGAGCCUAACUGCGAGAAUGACGGUUCGAGCAGUAACGAAAGUUGGAGUUAGUGAUCCGGCGGUAUGUGAGUGGAAAUGCCGUCGCUCAACGGAUAAAAGCUACCCUGGGGAUAACAGGCUGAUCUCCCCCAAGAGUCCACAUCGACGGGGAGGUUUGGCACCUCGAUGUCGGCUCAUCGCAUCCUGGGGCUGUAUUCGGUCCCAAGGGUUUGGCUGUUCGCCAAUUAAAGCGGUACGCGAGCUGGGUUCAGAACGUCGUGAGACAGUUCGGUCCCUAUCUGUCGUGGGCGCAGGAUAUUUGCAAGGAGCUGUCCCUAGUACGAGAGGACCGGGAUGGACGCACCUCUGGUGCACCGGUUGUCACGCCAGUGGCAUGGCCGGGCAGCUAUGUGCGGAACGGAUAAACGCUGAAGGCAUCUAAGCGUGAAGCCGCCCUUAAGAUAAGAUAUCCCAUCCUUUAUGGAGUAAGACCCCUGAAAGACUAUCAGGUUGAUAGGCCUAAGGUGUAAGUGCAGUGAUGUAUUUAGCCAGCAGGUACUAAUCGGUCGAGGGCUUGACCU
rnacentral:rRNA from 1 species